AACGACUCUCGGCAACGGAUAUCUCGGCUCUCGCAUCGAUGAAGAACGUAGCGAAAUGCGAUACCUGGUGUGAAUUGCAGAAUCCCGCGAACCAUCGAGUCUUUGAACGCAAGUUGCGCCCGAGGCCAUUCGGUCGAGGGCACGCCUGCCUGGGCGUCACGCCAU
rnacentral:rRNA from 2 species